UCACAUCACAGCUAAUCACAUCAAGGAUGAACCUGUCACCAAUAGCCCUCUACAUGGUCCAACUGUGCCAGAACGUAGAAUGGGUCUUGGUCUUUCCCUUACAUAUCAUAACAUAACAGUGUCCAACUGUGCCAGAACGUAGAAUGGGUCCUGGUCUUUCCCUUACAUAGUGCCAGCGAACGUAGAAUGGGUCCCACUGGUCUUACAUUCCGUACCGUACAUAUCACAUCGUCAUAUCAUAGAUCGAGGGCUAUGGAUCAUCCAACAUUCAUCCACAUCAACAUUUAAAAUAUGCAAUGCAACAUAUUCGUGAAUUCUAAUGCAAGCAACCUAAUUCAUCACAUGGCAUUCAUGAUGCAUGAUCAUGCUCAAUCCUUGCAAUUGAUUUGCUUAAAAACAUAAAGGGUUA
rnacentral:lncRNA from 1 species